AGGUUGGCUCAGAAGCAGCCAUCCUUUAAAGAGUGCGUAACAGCUCACUAGUCGAGUGACCCUGCGCCGAAAAUGUACCGGGGCUAAGCCUGAUACCGAAACUGCGGAUUGUAGGAAACUAUAGUGGUAGGGGAGCGUUGUAUACGAGCAGAAGCCGUACCGUGAGGAGCGGUGGAUUGUAUAGAAGUGAGAAUGCCGGUGUGAGUAGCGAGAUGUAGGUGAGAAUCCUACACACCGAAAGCCCAAGGAUUCCAGGGGAAGGUUCGUCCGCCCUGGGUAAGUCGGGACCUAACGCGAGGCCGAAAGGCGUAGUGGAUGGAAAGCAGGCGAAAGAUUCCUGCACCCGUAUAUGGAGCGAAGGAGUGACGGAGACGGAUAGUGUGACCCUCUUAAUGGAUUGAGGGCGAAGCGAAGCGGCUGGUUACCAGGCAAAUCCGGUAACCAAAAGGCUAGAGCGUGACAGGUAAGCGAAAUCUUAGGAAAGUAGCGAAGCACAUGAUGACGGCUUCCAGGAAAAGCUUCUGGCAAUGCAUAUGCGGCCCGUACCAAAACCGACACAGGUGGGCAGGGAGAGAAUCCCGAGGUGAGCGAGAGAACUGUUGCCAAGGAACUCGGCAAAAUGACUCCGUAAGUUAGCGAGAAGGAGUGCUUAAGCAAUUAAGCCGCAGUGAAGAGGCCCAAGCGACUGUUUAACUAAAACACAGCUCUCUGCGAAGUCGCAAGACGAAGUAUAGGGGGUGACACCUGCCCGGUGCUGGAAGGUUAAGAGGAUCUGUUAAGAGCGAUCUGAAGCAGUGAUCCGAAGCCCCAGUGAACGGCGGCCGUAACUAUAACGGUCCUAAGGUAGCGAAAUUCCUUGUCAGGUAAGUUCUGACCCGCACGAAAGGUGUAACGAUUUGGGCGCUGUCUCGGCAGCAGACUCGGUGAAAUCUUAGUACCUGUGAAAAUGCAGGUUACCCGCAACUAGACGGAAAGACCCCAUGGAGCUUUACUGCAGCCUGAUAUUGAAUUCUGGUCAUACAUGUACAGGAUAGGUGGGAGACAAAGAGACGUGCACGCCAGUGUACGAGGAGUCGUCGUUGGGAUACCACUCUUGUGUGACCGGGGUUCUAACCUGGUAUCGAGAACAGGUACGGGGAGAGUGUCAGGUGGGCAGUUUGACUGGGGCGGUCGCCUCCCAAAGAGUAACGGAGGCGCCCAAAGGUACGCUCAGAUUGGAUGGAAACCAAUCGUCGAGUGCAAUUGCAGAAGCGUGCUUGACUGUGAGACAAACAAGUCGAACAGGGACGAAAGUCGGGAAUAGUGAUCCGGCGGUGCCGAAUGGAAGGGCCGUCGCUCAACGGAUAAAAGCUACCCUGGGGAUAACAGGCUGAUCUCGCCCAAGAGUUCACAUCGACGGCGAGGUUUGGCACCUCGAUGUCGGCUCAUCGCAUCCUGGAGCUGGAUUCGGUUC
rnacentral:rRNA from 1 species